rnacentral:tRNA from 1 species
GGAUGGGUGCCGGAGCGGUUUAACGGGUCGGUCUUGAAAAUCGAAGACGGUUCAUCCCGUCCGUGGGUUCGAAUCCCACCCCAUCCU